AAAGCAGCAGAGAAGCAACUUCCUACCAAGGAGGUGUCCUGCCUGGGGAGGAGAGAGGUGUAGGAUGACCAACCCCCCAGACAUUCAGACCAUAGAAUCACAGAAUC